rnacentral:lncRNA from 1 species
CAGCUGACCAGUGACAUGAGAAUGGCAGGGACUGAAGCUUCACGCUGAAGAUUAAAGUUUCUGAGGUCAUGCAGAGAAGGGAGUAUAAUUACGAGUUAUCAAGAAAAUCAUAAGGCGUAUCAUAUAAAAUUGGUAGAGUCAGUACUGGAGCCUUGCUGAACUGUCAUGUGCAUACAAAUGAAUAAAGAAAGAAUCUUUCCAGGCACUGCACCAGGAUUAGAGGUUGGAAGGGUUCCUUGCUCCUAAAAGCAUUUGUAUGUUUCUUUAAUUACCACAAUAUACGAUAAAAGCAAAACGAGGCAUGGGCUGUGGGCUUCUCCUAAUUUCUUUAAGUAACAUAUUCUGAAACAUUAAACAAUAAAGAAUGUAAUGUUCUUUCUAGGUACCAUAAUAACUGUAUGAUGCCUUUGGUUGACUAGAUACCGCAGGGAAAUAUAUUAUAUGAAAUCCCACGCUGGAACUAAUCAUGGCCUUCAGGAAUUACAAGAGUACAAUUAUUCCUUGAAGACAUGGUGGAGAAGACGGUUUUCCAUUCAUGACUAAUUGGACAACAAGCUAGAGCAGUCAGCCAGAAGAAACCUUGCACCUUGUACAUAAAGAAAUCAAUGUGAAGAUGAAAGGGAACCUGUGUUAAGAGAUCUUCCCCGCUGUAACUGGCAGCCCACAUGAAGCAGGACAGCAAGGCUCAAGCCUCCUGACCUACCUGAACCCCUUUCUGGACUACUAGGGGAUGACUCAAGUUUUCAAGUGCCUGACAUCAGAUUUCUGAGGAGAGAUCGAUCACUAUCCAGGCCAAAAUAUCUGUGUUCUCUGGAGAGACCAGAAAAGAGUAAGCCCACACAACUACUCCAAGGCCCCUUGUGAGGCCCCUUGCUCUUUUAGCAGCUCCUGAAGACGUGGCAGAGGAGACACUCUUUCCCAGAGUGGAGCUGGAUUUCCUUAGCUCUGUUGCAUAAAGUUGCAUUAUUAGUAUGCUUUCCGUGGGUUAGGAACUGCCCAACAUCUUUAUUGUACUAUGGAUAUUAAGUUGGUUCCUAGUUUUCACCAGCCCUCUGGAUUUCACAGUACCUCAUCUGAUUGAUACAGUACCACUGGUCAGGUGUGUUCACUGAGAGGAUCUGUGUUUUUGCUUAAAAGGAUCAUGUAUUUGUUCUUUUUUCAUGAGCUAGAAUUAGGAAGAUUAAAGUAAAAAAUAAAUAAAAAAUAAAAAAAUCUGACUGAGCA